rnacentral:rRNA from 1 species
GAUGAACGCUGGCGGCGUGCCUAAUACAUGCAAGUCGAGCGAACGGACGAGAAGCUUGCUUCUCUGAUGUUAGCGGCGGACGGGUGAGUAACACGUGCAUAACCUACCUAUAAGACUGGGAUAACUUCGGGAAACCGGAGCUAAUACCGGAUAAUAUUUUGAACCGCAUGGUUCAAAAGUGAAAGACGGUCUUGCUGUCACUUAUAGAUGGAUCCGCGCUGCAUUAGCUAGUUGGUAAGGUAACGGCUUACCAAGGCAACGAUGCAUAGCCGACCUGAGAGGAUGAUCAGCCACACUGGAACUGAGACACGGUCCAGACUCCUACGGGAGGCAGCAGUAGGGAAUCUUCCGCAAUGGGCGAAAGCCUGACGGAGCAACGCCGCGUGAGUGAUGAAGGUCUUCGGAUCGUAAAACUCUGUUAUUAGGGAAGAACAUAUGUGUAAGUAACUGUGCACAUCUUGACGGUACCUAAUCAGAAAGCCACGGCUAACUACGUG